rnacentral:rRNA from 1 species
GGUUUGAUCCUGGCUCAGAUUGAACGCUGGCGGGAUGCUUACACAUGCAAGUCGAACGGCAGCACGGACUUCGGUCUGGUGGCGGAGUGGCGAACGGGUAUAACGUAUCGGAACGCUCUUGGUAGCGGGGAUAACUACGCGAAAGUGUAGCCAAUACCGCAAGGUACGCCCUUCGGGGAAAGCGGGGACCUUCGGGCCUCGCACUAUUAGAGUGGCCGAUAUCGGGGAUUAGCUAGCUAAAAACAGGCCAUCAUGCGAUUGAUCCGCAGCUGGUUUGAGAGGACGACCAGCCACACUGGGACUGAGACACGGCCCAUUCCUACGGGAGGCAGCAGGGAAAUUUUUGGACAAUGGGGGAAACCCCUGAUCCAGCCAUCCCGCGUGUGCGAUGAAGGCCUCGGGUUGUAAAGCACUUUUGGCAGGAAAGAAACGGCACGGAUAAUACCCCCGUGCAACUGACGGUACCUGCAGAAUAAGCACCGGUUAACCACGUGCCAGCAGCCGCGGUAAUACGUAGGGUGCAAGCGUUAAUCGGAAUUACCGGGCGAAGCGUGCGCGCAGGCGGUUCAAAAAAGAAAGAUGUGAAUCCCAGAGCUUAACUUUGGAACUGCAUUUUUAACUACCGAGCUAGAGUGUGUCAGAGGGAGGUGGAAUUCCGCGUAGCAGCGAAUGCAGAUAUGCGGAGGAACACCGAUGGCGAAGUUAUUUCGAUAACACUGCCGAUCGCUCAUGCACGAAAGCGUGGGGAGCAAACAGGAUUAGAUACCCUGGUAGUCCACGCCCUAAACGAUGUCAACUAGCUGUUGGGGCCUUCGGCCUCAGAAGCGGCGAAGAACACGGUAAAGUUGACCGCCCGGGGAGCACGGUUCUGCAAGAUUAAAACUCAAAGGAAUUGACGGGACCCGCACAAGCGGUGGAUGAUGUGGAUUAAUUCGAUGCAACGCGAAAAACCUUACCUACCCUUGACAUUGGAAUCCCGAAGAGAUUUGGGAGUGCUCGCAAGAGAACCGGAACACAGGUGCUGCAUGGCUGUCGUCAGCUCGUGUCGUGAGAUGUUGGUUAAGUCCCGCAACGAGCGCAACCCUUGUCAUUAGUUGCUACGAAAGGGCACUCGACGAGACUGCCGGUGACAAACCGGAGGAAGGUGGGGAUGACGCUCGAAAGUCCGUUAUGGUCUCGUAGUGGUAGGCCCACACGUCAUAUGCAAUGGUCGGGACAGAGGGUCGCUAACCCGCGAGGGGGAGCUGUUUGGAUCCAGAAACCCGAUCGUAGUCCGGAUCGCAGUCUGCAACCUGAUCAUGCAGGUCGGAAUCGCUAGUAACUGGUGACCAGCAGCGGUCGCGGUGAAUACGUUCCCGGGUCUUGUACACACCGCCCGUCACAAUCAUGGGAGUGGGUUUACCAGAAGUAGUUAGGUCAACCGUAAGGAGGGCGAUUACCACGGUAGGAUUCAUGACUGGGUAGUCAGAACAAGGU